rnacentral:ncRNA from 2 species
UAUAUCGUGUGUCCCGUUGGUGUCCGGAGAGGCGCGACUGCCCGUCGGACUUAAUAGGGAAUACCGGUGUGAAUCCGGAACUGCCCCGCAGCGGUAAGUGGAAACGAUCCCGUUCUAUGCACUGGUCCUACGGGGACUGGGAAGCGACGGGUAGGCGGGCCGAGAGGCCCACGUCCACAAGUCCGAAGACCUGCCAGCAAUCGGAGCCCGAG